rnacentral:rRNA from 1 species
UACGGAGGGGGCCAGCGUUGUUCGGAAUCAUUGGGCGUAAAGGGCGCGUAGGCGGCCAAUCAAGUCCGACGUGAAAUUCCCCGGCUCAACCGGGGGCCUGCGUCGGAUACUGCUUGGCUUGAGUCCCGGAGAGGGUAGUGGAAUUCCCAGUGUAGCGGUGAAAUGCGUAGAUACUGGGAGGAACACCGGUGGCGAAGGCGGCUACCUGGACGGGUACUGACGCUGAGGCGCGAAAGCGUGGGGAGCGAACAGG